UCAAACUACUCAGAAAGGUUGAAUCAGAAUCGCAGCAUCGCAGCUUUUCACCAAGCCUGAUGACAUCUACACCUUGUUCUACAUCAAGUUCAAAUGACACUGUCAGCAAAAACAGUGUGGAUGACAUGGUGGAAAUAGUUCCUGGUAGUAGAGUCACUGUGUCAAAGACCACUUGGGUAUGUGCUGAAGCACAAACUUCAAACAGUUCUUUUGCUCGGACACUGUUGCUUGGGCUGUUUCCAACUGACAUCUUGAUUAAUUCCAAUUUAACUGGAGGUUCCAGUAAACUCCAUAGCAGCACUGAGAGACGAAAAGCUUUGGACCAAAAAAAGUUGAAUGCUAUUAUUGAUGCAACAAAGAGGAAAUUUCCUGGCACUAAACGAGGGGAUAUUGGGAAGACUAUAAAUGGAAAAAUCAACGAGUUUUGUUACCAGCUGAAGAAGGACACUAGACCUGCAACCGAAAACAGUGUUAACUCUGUCGAAGCACUUGGAUUUUUGUGUUUUGCUUUUAAUAUUUUCUUGUUCCUUUAGCAGUUUGUUAUAUACAUAGUGGGUGAUUUAGUCGGAAGAAUUAAGCAUUUAAUAAGUGGAAAUUUCAGGGAUAAAAAUAUUUUUCAGUUGGAUUGGGACUCACAUUAAUAAGGAUAACACUGCUACUUUUCUGAUCUCCAUGCUUAUUAUAUCUUUAUUCACCACUCUCCUACAGCACAACCUCCUAUACAAAAAUAAGAUUAGUAGGGUAUAGCUGAAAUAAUUGCAGUUAUGGCCAACAAAUCUUAUUUUGUAUAGAGAUUAUUACAAUAGUUUAUGUGCUAAACACAUGACCAUUUACCAAAGGUGUGUUGACUGUUUUAAAAGUCUGUUUAAAUUAAGAAAUGUUUUGUUCAGUAAGUACAGUAAUAUUGCUUGUUGCUGACCUUGCUUUUUGGUUUACUUGCUUUCAUGAUGAGGCAGAAAAGAUGCAAGACUUUACCAAGGGGAUUUGUAAAGUGUUUUGCUUCAGAGCAAAUGCUGCUCCUAAUUUUCUAAAAUUGACUUUUUGCAUUUAAAAGUUAAAAUCUUAUAAGA